UACGUAGGUCCCGAGCGUUGUCCGGAUUUAUUGGGCGUAAAGCGAGCGCAGGUGGUUUAUUAAGUCUGGUGUAAAAGGCAGUGGCUCAACCAUUGUAUGCAUUGGAAACUGGUAGACUUGAGUGCAGGAGAGGAGAGUGGAAUUCCAUGUGUAGCGGUGAAAUGCGUAGAUAUAUGGAGGAACACCGGUGGCGAAAGCGGCUCUCUGGCCUGUAACUGACACGGAGGCUCGAAAGCGUGGGGAGCAAACAGG
rnacentral:rRNA from 1 species